UGGCGGCGAUAGCGCGGUGGUCCCACCUGACCCCAUGCCGAACUCAGAAGUGAAACGCCGUAGCGCCGAUGGUAGUGUGGGGUCUCCCCAUGUGAGAGUAG
rnacentral:rRNA from 1 species